GAACACCUUGACAUGAAUAAAUGUUGUCCUCCCGCCCUGCGGAGAUCAUUGAGAGAAGCACCCAGUUGGCUUUUUCAGUUUUGAAGAGCUGCCCAAGCAGUUCCAAGAAGAGUUGAUCACAUUUAUGUCAAGGAGCCAAGCGCUUUCUCUGAGGUGUGCAGAACCGGGAGGGAAGAGUCGGCAUGCUCACAUCGAGUCCCUCACCACGACCUCAGGACCUGUCCUCUGUGAGGCUCCUGCCCCCCCAAGGCCUCCUGCCUCCUCCCCACCACGUCCGGGGGGUGGGCUGCUUCAUCUCUACGAGGGACUGGGAGACUUCUGCCAGGACCGUGCCCUGCUCUACCAGGGACUUCGGCUGUGGACACAGGAGACAGGACCGGAGGUGCGAGGCUGCGCCCUUCAGAGGAGAGGUGGUGUUUGCAGGAUUUGGUGACUGAUUGCCUGUGAAAGAUGAAGGAGAAGGAGGAGUCACAGACGACCCUGAGGUUUCUCCAUUCGUGACUUUUUGGAUGGUGGUGCAAACAAGGACAUAGCAGCAAAAGC